AACACCUUACACUCAUAGUUCCAUUUUUCUCUCAAAUCAAAAUCAAGUUUCUCUCAACUUCUUCAAAAAGUUUAUCAAGAACAACAACAACUUCAUCACAUCUUCAUCAAUAUUCAAACAAAAAUCAAAACUCUCAAGAACCCAGACUCUCUCUCAAGGAUCUAUCUCUCCUCUCCGCGCUCACUCUCUAUUUCCAACCUUCUUCCGAUCGCCGCCGCGCUCCCGCCGUCACGCCUCCCUCCGGCCGCCACUCCCUCCGACCGGUGGCUCUCUGCGCUCUCUCUCCUUUCUUCUUCGAUUUCUUCGCUUUGAUCUCCUCUCCGCAUUAAUCUUGGAUCCUAAUUAUUUUUAGUGAUUACUUGAAUAAUUCUUGUAGAUUGGUAUUUUAUUUGCAUUCAUGAAUGGAGUUUUGAAUCUUGAUUUGAAUUGAAUUCGAGAAUUAAGCAUGAAUUGAAUAUUGAUUAUUGAUUGUGAUUGAAUAUCAAUUGUUGAUCCUUGUUGAUUCUAAUUGUUAAAGAUUUGUUGAAUCUCGAAUGAUGAAGUUAUGUUGAGAAUUGGUAUUGAGUUCAUGAAUUGAUGCAAAUUUAAUUUGAAUCCGUUGUUAAACUAAUUUGUUUCUGAUACCAAAAUUCCGGUUCGAAUUUAGUUAUAUCAAUUCUUGGAUUAUAUUGUUGUUUGUGCUUGAAAUCCAAACUUUCAUGUGAUAUUUUCGGUUUACAAUGUGUUGGCAUUUUUUAGCAACAUAACUUGAACCCGUAAGCGCUUUUGAGCAUCGAUUUGUGGUUUUAAAUUCAAUUUUUGGUUGGUAUCGAUUCAAGUAUGUGUUGCUGCCCGGAAAAUGUAAAUACAUCAUCAAUCGCUCUUAGAAAUUCGGUUGAGGCAUUCUUAUGCUUACUUGUGCGUUUAAUGAUGGUCAAUGUUGUGAUAUGGUGCUGUCCGGAAUUGGAAAACAUGCUCACUCUGUGAAUUAAUUUGUGCCUAAUGCAUUUGUAGCUUCAUUUUCUUGAUUGGUAAGUACUGGUAGCAUUUCGGUUAAUUUUUUACACGUCUUUUGGUGUGAUUCGGAAUUGGUAACAAUGCUGUCCGGAUUUUAUUCUAGCACGUAUUUUGUGAUUCGAAAUUCAUUUGAUGCAUGUAUGCACUUAAUUGCUUGAUGGCGGACCAUUGGUGUCGAGCUUACUUGCUUUUACGAUGAUUUUUUGUGCGCUUACUUGUGUGAUGUCAAUGCUUCCCGGUAUUUGAUUUUGUGGUUCCGAAACAUGUUAGCCACUUGUUUCUUCAUGAUUCGAAUAUGUAACUCCGGUUACGAUUACUUGUUAUUUCUAAUGAGUUUGCUAGCUUGUGCAAGGACUUCCGAAGGAUUUUUCGGUGGUGAUUUGAUUGCUCCGUGUUCCACACUUUAUUUGUGGGAUACGAGUUCGUUUCCGAUUGUGACUUACUUGAUUCUCAUCUAAUGAGAAAUAUAGACUGCUUGGUUUUUGUCUAGAUUGUGAAUUUUUACAGAUGUAUCGCCCGAAUUUGUCCGACAUAUAUUCUGAUUUGUGAUUUAUUUUCACAUCAAUGAUGCUUUAACGUUUAUGCUAGAUGACAUGAUUUCUGACAUUCUUGUUUGUUGAUGCUAGCUCGCGCGAAGUCGAUAUAGCAGAGAACAUUGUUCAUGAGACGUUAAUGGAAGAAUCUAACGGUGACGAUGUAGUUAUUGUUGAUCAUGACAGUCCUAUAAUUGUGGAUGUUGAUAAUGAUGUUGCAAGAAAUGAUGAAAAUUGUCUGGGCAGUUCCCUCUCUCUCGUACACGCAACAAUGACACUCUUGAGGAUUUCCAAGAGGUAAGCACUCCUAAACCACUUUAAGAUGAUAAUUCAGAUACUACUACAAAUUUUCAAUUGCCUUACAGACACAGACACAGUAGGGGUAAACCCCCAGACCGCUAUUCACCAAACAUUGAAGGAAAGGGUUCAAAGUAACCAAUUACUAAUUAUGUUAGCACUAAGAGACUCUCUUAACCACUAAAGGCCUUUGCACACAAUCUGUCCUUCAUCCAUAUUUCAACACGAGUGCAGGAGGCGUUUUAAGAUCCAAACUGGUCUCAAGAAAUUCAAGAAGAGAUGAAAGUCUUACUAAAGAAUAACACAUGGAACCUUGUCUCCUUGCCGAGUGGAAAGAAGACUGUAGGUUGGAAAUGAGUAUUUUCCAUGAAAUACAAAGUUGAUGGUUCUAUAGAGAAAUAUAAGGCUAGAUUGGUGGGCAAGGGGUAUACACAAACUUAUGGCAUAUGCUACCCAUAGACUUUUUCACCAGUGGCGAAGUUGAAUAUAGUUAGAGUCUUGUUGUCUAUUGCUGCAAAUUUAGACUGGCCAUUACAUCAAUUUAACGUAAAUAAUGCUUUUUUACAUGGAGAGUUGGAAGAGGAGGUAUAUAUGGACAUUCCACCAGGCUAUAUUGUAUCAUCUAGUGAUCAGACUUUGUGCAGGUUGCAAUGGGUGUUAUAUGGAUUGAAGCAAUCCCCACGUGCUCUAUUCGGACGGUUCACCUUAACUAUGAAAAAAUAUGGGUUCCAAUAGAGCAAUUCUAACCAUACACUUUUCUUGAAAGAUAACAAAGGAAAGGUUACUGCAUUAAUAAUCUAUGUUGAUGAUAUGAUUAUUAUAGGUAAUGAUAUAGAGGAGAUCUCCAAAAUUCAGAGGAAACUUAGAACUAAAUUCAAAAUGAAGAACUCUGGAGGACUAAAAUACAUUUUGGAAUAGAAGUUGCCAAGUCAAAUGAAGGGAAGAAAAAGUAAAUGGAGAUGAGGAGUAUUGUGAAAGAGAUUUUGAAAAGAAGAGAACAAAUUUGAAAUGAGCUGUUGAAAUUGUGAAAGUUGGAAUGAAUUAAAAGGACAAAUAUUAGAGAUAUUUGUCAUUUAUGUAGUUUCUCUAAGAUUGACAUGCAUUUUGGUAAAACCAACCUAGCAGAAACAUGUUGAAUAAAAUGUCAUAUCAUACAGAUUUCGACAUUUCGAACAAGAUGUUACAACAUGGCAGGUAUGACAUCGUGUUUGCUGGAGCUGAUCUGUUACUUUUCUGCACUGGUUUUUGUUACUGUACCAACUUGAUCCAUAAGUGUUUGUUCUCAGAUAUUAGUGUUGUGACAUCUCAUUCGACAUCACAUAACUGAUACCAGAAUUUCAAUUUAUAUGUUUAUCCUUUUUUAUAUAUCAAUAUUUGGCUAAAUACCCUUUUUGGUCCCUUAAGUUUACCUCGGGGUCCAUUCUGGUCCCUUAUCUUUAAAAAGUUCCAAAGUGGUCCUUUAAUUGUUCAAAAAGGUCCACGUUAGUCCUUUCCGUCUAAUUUUUUUAAAACGGUAUUAACUUUUGCACUAGUGGCAUCUGACGUGGCACCUGUUCAUGCAUCUGACGUGGCACCUGUUCGUACGCGUGGCAUCUAUUCAUAAUCAAAGGUCAUCAAAAUUCUUUAAAAAAUUCCAAAAUUUUGCCUUGACCUAAGAUUUGAAUCAAGUACAUAUUGAUUGCUAGACAACAAUCUUACCACUGAGCCAAUGUAUCUAAUGUUGAUAUAAUUUAAAAAUGAUAUAAUAUAUAAAAAAAGAGAAAUAUGAGAGAGUAGUCCUUCAUCCUUCUCUCUCUUCUUGUCAUCUUCAUUGCUCAGCCCUUCUAAAAACCUCCAUGGUCAAAUUUUCCUCAACCUCAAAAUUCACCCAAAAAUUAAAAAUGGAGAUAUGAUUUAAAUCGUUUUUCGCCCUUAACUUGAAUCUGCAAACCAAAUUCCCAUAAUCUUCAUCAACCUUAUUUAAUUUUAAAUUUUGUUCAGAAACCCUAGAGCUUAGAAAUAAAAUUCAACGAUGAAUAUUUACAAACUCAAGAAAUUAAUGAAAUCAAGAUUCAUCAAAUGCCUGAAAUUAAGCGAGGAAUAUAAGCUGAUGAGUUUAUGUUUGGAGGUUAUUAGUUUUUCUAGUUUUGAAUUGGAUUUGAGAUUGGUUGUUAGGGUUUUAUCAAAGUGAAUGAAACUUUACAAUUUUUGUUGCAAGAUUAAAAGGGGUUGGAGAAUGAAAGGGAAACUGUUGAUUUUUUUUCCAGAAUUUUAUAGAUGUUGAGAAGUAGAUACUGCAAGAUGAAGAUGAAGAAGCUGUAUCAAAACCCAGAAAAGUGAGGAUUUUUGAAGAAACCCGUUGUUGAAACCCAUAUUGAGGAACAAGAUGAUGAACUUUGAAGAAAUAAAAAAAAAGAGAAUUAAUAUUCUGAUACGAUGAAAACUAUUAGGGGAGCUUCCACAAUGAAUGCCAUAUUCUGAUACAAUGAAAAAUAUCAUGAAGAUAUGCAAAUUAAUAAUUUUUGUUCUUAAUUACUGUUUUUGUACAAGAUAUGCAAAUUAAUUCAAGAUAUUUUGUUCUAAAUUA